UACGUAGGGUGCGAGCGUUGUCCGGAAUUAUUGGGCGUAAAGAGCUUGUAGGUGGUUUGUCGCGUCUGCUGUGAAAAUCCGAGGCUCAACCUCGGACUUGCAGUGGGUACGGGCGAGACUAGAGGUAGGUAGGGGAGAAUGGAAUUCCCGGUGAGCGGUGAAAUGGCGCGAUAUCGGGAGGAACACCGGUGGCGAAGGCGGUUCUCUGGGCCUUACCUGACACUGAGGAGCGAAAGGCGUGGGGAGCGAACAGG
rnacentral:rRNA from 1 species